GACAGAAAGAGAUUAAAAAAUCCAAGGCAGUGAAGUGUUUUCAGAACAUUUAUAAAUGUUCUGAAAACUAUUUACAGCCUUGGAUUUUUUAUCUCAU
rnacentral:pre_miRNA from 1 species